UGGGCUGUAGUUCAGUGGGCAGAACGGGACGUGGCUAUUUGUCGUGUCGCAACAUGACAAGUGUCACGUCUAUAUGUCGCGGGUUCGAGUCCCGUCAGCCCCCGA
rnacentral:tRNA from 1 species